rnacentral:rRNA from 1 species
CCCUGCUUGCAGGGUACUCGAGUGGCGAACGGGUGAGUAACACGUGGGUGAUCUGCCCUGCACUUCGGGAUAAGCCUGGGAAACUGGGUCUAAUACCGGAUAGGAGCCAUUUUUAGUGUGAUGGUUGGAAAGUUUUUUCGGUGUAGGAUGAGCUCGCGGCCUAUCAGCUUGUUGGUGGGGUAAUGGCCUACCAAGGCGGCGACGGGUAGCCGGCCUGAGAGGGUGGACGGCCACAUUGGGACUGAGAUACGGCCCAGACUCCUACGGGAGGCAGCAGUGGGGAAUAUUGCACAAUGGGCGCAAGCCUGAUGCAGCGACGCCGCGUGGGGGAUGACGGCCUUCGGGUUGUAAACUCCUUUCGCUAGGGACGAAGCUUUUUGUGACGGUACCUAGAUAAGAAGCACCGGCUAACUACGUGCCAGCAGCCGCGGUAAUACGUAGGGUGCGAGCGUUGUCCGGAAUUACUGGGCGUAAAGGGCUCGUAGGUGGUUUGUCGCGUCGUCUGUGAAAUUCCGGGGCUUAACUCCGGGCGUGCAGGCGAUACGGGCAUAACUUGAGUACUGUAGGGGUAACUGGAAUUCCUGGUGUAGCGGUGAAAUGCGCAGAUAUCAGGAGGAACACCGAUGGCGAAGGCAGGUUACUGGGCAGUUACUGACGCUGAGGAGCGAAAGCAUGGGUAGCGAACAGGAUUAGAUACCCUGGUAGUCCAUGCCGUAAACGGUGGGCGCUAGGUGUGAGGGUCUUUUCACGACUUUCGUGCCGUAGCUAACGCAUUAAGCGCCCCGCCUGGGGAGUACGGCCGCAAGGCUAAAACUCAAAGGAAUUGACGGGGGCCCGCACAAGCGGCGGAGCAUGUGGAUUAAUUCGAUGCAACGCGAAGAACCUUACCUGGGCUUGACAUACACUGGAUCGCUGCAGAGAUGUAGUUUCCCUUUGUGGCUGGUGUACAGGUGGUGCAUGGUUGUCGUCAGCUCGUGUCGUGAGAUGUUGGGUUAAGUCCCGCAACGAGCGCAACCCUUGUCUUAUGUUGCCAGCAUUUGGUUGGGGACUCAUGAGAGACUGCCGGGGUCAAC